GGUUAGUGCAGUGCAGACGCACUGGCGGAGUCAAUCCAGUGCUCCUGCCAGUGUGUUUGCACUGCACUAACC